GCGGGGGUGCCGGAGCGGUCAAACGGGCUAGGCUAAGGAGCAAUGCCUGCGAGGGUUCAAAUCCCUUCCCCCGCA
rnacentral:tRNA from 1 species